rnacentral:misc_RNA from 1 species
UUAUCGGCCAGACAUAGAUGGGACAAACAGAACCUUAAUUCACACAAAAAGCUGACAUGCUGGUUAAAGCUAAAAUGGAAACUAGAGGAGCUUCAAUAAAGAAAAGACUUCGUGGUUGUUAGCUCUGCGGUCAAAGAAACAGGUAAUCAAACCCACCUCUCUCUCUCUCUCUCUCUCUCUCUCUCUCUCAGCUGGUGACCAACUUCUGUCAUGGGCGAUUGGCAUGCAACUGGGCAGAAUGGUGGGCUGGGGUUGAGCGGGUCCUUGCUUACGCAUGGAGGAAACCCUGUGGGGACCUAAUGAUGAUGGGGCCAAGCCAAACACACAAACAUGAUUCAUCGACUCUGAUAACUUUUCAUAUUUAAUUUCUUUAUUCUGUUGUACUGCUUUUC